UUAGGUUGCCAUUUGUAACAGAUUCAGGAGGAAUACCGGAUGUGAUUUUUUUUUCGCCCCUCCUGCACACAAAAUGGCCAUGACACGUCGCAGGCAGCAUCGGUCUUUAUUUUUUCUUUAUUUAUAGUACCUGAUCUAACACGGCACGUGCAACAUCUGUAGCCACACAUACACAGCGCAAAGAAAGCAUGCAAGAUGUUAAUCCAGAUGUUAUACCAGAUAUACCGAGCUAUUAAUGACUGCUAUGCGGAAGAAAAAAAUCAUCUAUAAGAAGCUUGGCAUGAUGCCCUCUGCUGCUUUACCUGGAAUCCGGUUCCAGAUGGAUCAUCGAUUUCGGAUCCGCUUUGUUGUUUUUUCCAUAUAAACCGGAAGUGACGUCACAAGAGGCGCUGUGGUCUGUCCUGUUAUGAUGUCAGUAGUUUUCAUGAUGGUCCACACCUUCCUUGGGUUUUAGUUUAACCCUGGACAUGUCUCUUUUCAAACUGCAUGAAACAGUGUAUAUUGUUUUCAUCAAUCUGGGCAAAAUUAAUUAUUUAUAUAAAAAAAAAAAUAAAUAAAAAAAAGGAAAGAAAGAAAAAAAACAGAUAAGAUGAACUUGCCACAUGGUGUCAGCAUCAUCCCAGGAACCCAGGAACCUCCUUCUCCUGCUUUGGAAUUGAGUCCUUAGUCAGCAAGAUGUUAUUCAUUGCUCUAUGAUCAUGUAUAUUUUUGUCAUCUACAUUCACAUACUCGUGUGCUUUUCUUGGCGGAGGAAACUAGUAAACCCAGAGGAAACGAG